UCGGUUCCUUAAAAUUUGAAUAAAUGAAGUUCACCUAUUUGGGGUUUCAUCUUUUGAUAUUUUCAAUACUUUAACGUUAUAGUAUCGAGGAUUCAACAUAAAAAUAAUAAUUUGAUUGUCAAAGCAUAUCCGACUAUCAUCUCUGAAAUCGACUGCACUCGUCUCUCCGGCGGCAAGAGAGAGGCUUCCUCCCUCAAGAUAUUCAGGCGGCAGAGAUGACCGCGAUGACGAAUUCGGGGUUUGAAGGAGUUGAGAAGCGGUUGGAGAUCGUCUUCAAGAAACAGGCGAUAGGAGAGUCAUCAUUACGGGUGAUGUUAACCGAAGAUGUUUAACAUGUUAUACUGAAGCCGGUGGACUGCAAGAUCGAGUACAACCUGCUUUCUCCAAGUGUUGAUACAUACCUUCUCUAUGCCUCUAGCUUGUUCGUGUUUUGAUGACUGGGUGGUUAUUAAGACAUGCGGUAAUACGAAGAUAUUCAAAGCUAUCUAUUUGAUUCUGUUACACUACAGGCCAAAUCCAGUUGCGGUCAAAUUCACCCGAGGAACCUAUAUCUGGCCAGAGCACCAACCCUUUCCCCACCAGAGUUUUGAAACAGAAGUAUUCAAGUUGCGCGAACUCUUGCCUCUCGAAGAUGUAAUGACAGAGAAAUUGGGCUGUCCCAGAAAUAUAUUUCAUGUUAUUGCUGCUGCUGCACCACGGCUGAUCUUUCACUUUCCUCCCCUCCCAGCCUUCGUUCAACGGUGGAGAUCUUGAUGACGAGUUUAGACAAAUCCAAGUCAUCCGUCUUCUUUCAAGAGAGCCUACGUGGACCCAUGAUCACCGCGUCUGGUAUAGACAGACUUUUUCCCGGAUCCAAAAUCUCAGACAUGGAGUUCCCGGGCUGUGGCUAUUCAAUGAAUGGUAUUGUCGGUGGUGGAUCUGUGUAUACGAUUCAUGUUGCUCCUGAAGAAGGGUUCAGCUUUGCCAGCUUUGAACUUUGUCAAUAUCAGCAUGAUGAUGUGGACCUCGGUUUAUUGGUGGAAUCCGUGGUCUUUUGCUUUGAUCCUGCUCACUUCACGGUUGCCGUCGUGGGCUCUUCUAAGUUUUCUGGAGAGUUGAUUCUCAAGAAUAGAGUUGUUCGAUGCAAAGAGAUCAAAGUUAGGUGCUUGGGGCACAGUUGAUUAUUACUUUUUCUGAUAUGCUAGUAAUUAUAUGAUUGAUGUUCUUGCUCUUAUAUAAUGAUAUGAUGAUUUUUCCCUCUGUCUCUCUCUCAAAACUGUUGUAUGCCAUUUUGUGAUAUAUACGCACUGAACUGG